AUCUUGAGAUGGCCAUUGCCUACUGGAAUCUUAUUUUUACUGGUUGCUUCAAAUUUUUGGACUUGUGGUGUGAAUUUUUAAAAUCUCAUUAUAAAAGAGCUGGCAAUACCCAAAGACACUUGGAACCUUCUGCUAAAGUUUUCAAAUACAAUUGAUGACACCAUGAGCAAUUAUGAUGAAGAUGGUAGGUCUAUACUGUAUAAAUUGUAAUGUUCUCCUCUUUAAAUAAUUUGUAUUUUGUACAGCACUUUAAUGUAUGGCAGCUUUAUUUCUUUGUAAA